UGGCGAACGGGUGGAGUAACACGUGGGCAACCUGCCUCUAGCUCUGGGAUAACCCCGGGAAACCGGGGCUAAUACCGGAUAUGACCUCGAUUGGCAUCCCUCGAGGUGGAAAGUUUUUCGGCUAGAGAUGGGCCCGCGGCCUAUCAGCUUGUUGGUGAGGUAAUGGCUCACCAAGGCGACGACGGGUAGCCGACCUGAGAGGGUGACCGGCCACACUGGGACUGAGACACGGCCCAG
rnacentral:rRNA from 1 species